CAGUCGCCACGGGAACACGGAGGGAGCUAGCGUUGUUCGGAAUUACUGGGCGUAAAGCGCGCGUAGGCGGUUACUCAAGUCAGAGGUGAAAGCCCGGGGCUCAACCCCGGAACUGCCUUUGAAACUAGGUGACUAGAAUCUUGGAGAGGUCAGUGGAAUUCCGAGUGUAGAGGUGAAAUUCGUAGAUAUUCGGAAGAACACCAGUGGCGAAGGCGACUGACUGGACAAGUAUUGACGCUGAGGUGCGAAAGCGUGGGGAGCAAACAGGAUUAGAUACCCGAGUAGUCCCUGUCUCUUAUAU
rnacentral:rRNA from 1 species